rnacentral:rRNA from 1 species
GACGUAGAGCGCGAGCGUUGUCCGGAUUUAUUGGGCGUAAAGAGCUCGUAGGCGGUUUGUCGCGUCGUCCGUGAAAACUCACAGCUUAACUGUGAGCUUGCGGUCGAUACGGGCAGGCUAGAGUUCGGUAGGGGAGACUGGAAUUCCUGGUGUAGCGGUGAAAUGCGCAGAUAUCAGGAGGAACACCGGUGGCGAAGGCGGGUCUCUGGGCCGAUACUGACGCUGAGGAGCGAAAGCGUGGGGAGCGAACAGG